rnacentral:rRNA from 1 species
CAGCAGCCGCGGUAAUACGUAGGAGGCAAGCGUUAUCCGGAUUUAUUGGGCGUAAAGCGCGUGCAGGCGGCCUAGCAAGUUGGAUGUGAAAGCUCCCGGCUUAACUGGGAGAGGUCGUUCAAUACUGUUAGACUAGAGAAUGGGAGAGGGAGGUGGAAUUCCGGGUGUAGUGGUGAAAUGCGUAGAUAUCCGGAGGAACACCAGUGGCGAAAGCGGCCUCCUAGACCAUUUCUGACGCUAAGACGCGAAAGCUAGGGUAGCAAACGGGAUUAGAGACCCCGGUAGUCCUAGCUGUAAACGAUGUAGACUUGGCGUUGGCGGAGUUAAAUCUGUCAGUGCCGUAGCUAACGCGAUAAGUCUACCGCCUGGGGACUACGAUCGCAAGAUUAAAACUCAAAGGAAUUGACGGGGACCCGCACAAGCAGCGGAGCGUGUGGUUUAAUUCGAUGAUACACGAAGAACCUUACCAGGGUUUGACAUGUAAGUGGUAGUGAUCCGAAAGGUGAACGACCCCUCGGGGAGCUUACACAGGUGCUGCAUGGCUGUCGUCAGCUCGUGUCGUGAGAUGUUCGGUUAAGUCCGCUAACGAGCGCAACCCUCACUGUGUGUUACAAGUGUCACACGGGACUGCCGGUUUUAAGCCGGAGGAAGGAGAGGAUGACGUCAAGUCAGCAUGGCCUUUAUGUCCUGGGCUACACACACGCUACAAUGGUCGGUACAAUAGGUUGCCAAGCCGCAAGGCGGAGCCAAUCCCUAAAGCCGGCCUCAGUUCAGAUUGCAGGCUGCAACUCGCCUGCAUGAAGCUGGAGUUGCUAGUAACCGCAGGUCAGCUAUACUGCGGUGAAUACGUUCCCGGGUCUUGUACACACCGCCCGUCACGUCAUGGAAGCUGGCAACACCUAAAGCCGGUAUCCUAACCGCAAGGAAGGAGCCGUCGAAGGUGGGGUUGGUGACUGGGACGAAGUCGUAACAAGGUAGCCGUA